rnacentral:lncRNA from 1 species
CGUUGUUGUACCAGGUCAUCUGAACAGAAAAGUAGAUGAUCCAGGUGUAUCAUUAAUAUUGAAUGUAUAUUAAACUAGUUUUUGCUCAGAAAAAUUAAGAAAUUAUAGAUUUGUCUGGGAAGAGGGGAUAACAGGAGAUAUUUUCAAGAUAGUAUGUAAUUGUUUUAAUAUCUCUCUAGGUAAGCAAAAGCGUCUUUUCUUUAUUUUCUCUUUAUUACAGAAAUUAAAUUCAGGCUUUCUAAAGUAGUCUGGAAUUUACAAAUGAGGACUAAUUCAUUAAUAUCCUGAAAAUGUAAGCAACACUAUAAAGAGUGAUGGCAAGGAGCCUGAAAAUGUUACCAAACAAACGUGUUAUAUCCAAGAAGAAAAAGUGUCUGAAACAGUGAACUUCCAGAGACAUUUUCUGGGCUCCUUCUGCUUUGAGCAACACGAACACAAUCUUCCUAAUCCGCCACUCCUGCUCUGACAUUCCAGCCUCAUGCAUAGCCAUUGGCAAACUUGGAACAUGCAUCCAGUGCAUUUUUUUGGUUGAAAUGCUACAUCUGGCUUAGCUGGCAAGUGUUACUAUGCCUCUAGAAAGUAAGCCAAAGUGAAAAAAAAAAAAAAAAAAAAAAAAAAAGGCAAAAAACCCAGGAACCUUAACUACAUGCAGGAAAAGAUUACUGGAAUAUACUGUCCUCUUUGUUUCCUGGAAAACUGAAACUCCAUUUAUGGCCUCUGACCUUUGGAAAGAUGGCCACAGAAGAAAACCAGCUACCUAAGAGUUAAUGUAUGCAGUGUACUACUGUGAAGGAAAUAAGGGGAAAAAGGAGCACUCUACCAUAUGAAAAACCACAUUCAGUAUCUACAAACAGAUUAAAAUCACAUAUGGAAAAAGUAUCUUCCACGAGAGAGAAUUAAUGAACAAGCACAGCGGCCCAAGUUCUGCCCUUAGGUGAAGUCAAUGAGAAAAAGUAAGUGCAUAUUUUUGGCCCAUUAUGUCUUUUCUUACAAUGUUUUCUUAAUAUAAAUCCAAAUCUAGGGACCUGAUCAACUCCAAAGUUUCUCAAGUUUUCUCUUGAGC